GUAGUAGGAAGUAGACGAUCUCGCCGAUUCCAGGUAGCGAGCAGUUGCGGAAGACGCUCUCUAAAAACCUGAUUGCCCGCACACCCGAGCAGGUGUCUCGAUGCAAGGUGCCGGGUUCCAGAGGCCUGCUCUCUCGAUCUCUGUGCGUGCAUAGGUUCGGGACGGGGAUGAACCAGAGCAACUCGAAGGGAGAUGAGAGUAACGGCUCGGCUCGGCGGCGGCGGCGGCGCGCGCGUGUUGCACCCUCUUUCUCUUCCUCAACUUCUCUAUAGGAGCUAUCAAUGGCCGCCUAUUUAAGUUGAGUUAACACAUGGUCAACAAUCAAACCGGUAUUAAACCGUUUUCAUUAUAGCAUUUAUUAUGUGUCUUUGAAUUAAUCAUCAAAUAAAAUAUGGGCUAAAGGCCCACAUUAUAUUCAACAACUAUCCAAAUUAGUGUUCAUAUUUGUUCGGUUGAACGGAUAGACGAAUAAAUAUUCGUACCACUUUUAUCUCUACCUGUCGCUGAAGCGGAAGCAGCAGAGCCAGAGUGCCCGACGACGACGAGAAGGAGGCCGAGCCGGCGGCAGCAGCAGGCGCUGUCAUGUCUCAUAUGCAAUGAGCUCCUCCAUCAUCAUAUAAUCACCUGUGGACUAAUCUCCUGUGUAUCUCACAUUAACACUAUUAGUCCACCUAAGUUGUCACUCAAUUACCAAAACCAAACAAGUACCUUUCACUCUCCUGCACUCGUAGUCUCCACUCGCCUGUCACCCCUCCUCUCUCCUGACUCGCCUCUGUGGCCCCUAGUGCCAAGUCGUUGACGGUGGCCACCUCCUCACCCGAUCACCUCCUACGCUAGGGCCGACUUCCAGUGUGACGUUGGGUCUGCUCUGUGCAGAUCUUGCAUCGUCCUCCGCAGAUCUAGCCUCCUCAUCACUCGUCCUCCACGAAUCCAGCCAAGUUGGAGCUCCUUGAGGAUGGUCGCCAGCCUUUGGAACCAAAUAUGAGAGAUUAGUUGUGCUUUACGGGCCAACUCGGCCUGAAAAUCGACCCACCAAGCUGUGCUUGGGACGCAGGCUAGGCACGAGACCUACUGGGGCACGGGCCGCCAGGCACGGAGUGCCUUGUCGGCCCGACCCCCAUUAGGCCGUGUCGCCUCGGCCUGGCCCGUUACCCAUCUAUAGAUAGUGUGUUGCACUGAAGCUAGAGUUGACAAAUCGAGUUAUUAGUAGACGUAGUAUUCACCCAGAACCUUGCUGAUUGACACAAGAUUUUUGCACAGAUGCGUGAUUCGUGAGAAGAUUUACCUUCACCUUUCAUUGUUUUUUCUUUUUUCUUUUUUUUUAGAAAAUUCACCUUGCAUUGUUGUACGUGUUCUAUAGCCAGCCCGUUGUUUGUGGGUAAGGAUAGAGACGAUGCUCCAAAUGGAUACCCACGGUUCUUCUCUAGUAUAAUUAAAUGAACUAAAUAAAUAAUUUCUUUUCUUAUUUUUUAUGAGAGAAUUAUUUCCUUGGCCCUAAAAAAAGUAUCUCAUAGUUUCUUAGCCUUUUUUGGUCGAACUUAGUUAUUUGGCCUAGAUUUGAGUUUUGCUUGGCUUUAUGACCCUUCCGUUAGUUUGAUGAGCUAACAGAGUUAAGUAGUACACGAUGGGUUUUCAGAUGGCUGAAUAUCAAUAAUUUCACAAUAUGGUCCGCAAUAAUUUUUUGAAGCAUGGGAUCACUAUUAUAUAAUUUCACAAUAUGGUCCGCAAUAUUCAAAAAAUUAUUGCAAACCAUAUUAUAAAAUUAUUGAUAUUAAGCCAUUUGAUAAAACCCGUACAAUGCAUAUGUAGGCUAUUGCUCUUUUUCAUUCAGCGACAGGGGAAAAAUAGUCAUUUCGUUCACUCUGGGCACGAAAAAACCGAUAACCGAGAACCGAACCAAAAUAACCGGGAACUGAACCGAAAUAACCAAACCGGACGGUUUCUGGUUUCAAAUUCGGUUCCAGAAUCCCAGGAACCGAAUUUAGUAAUUCGGUUAUUUCGGUUCUACCCCUCAGUUAACCGAAUUGACCCAUAAAUAACCGAAUUGUGUGCAGCCCAUAUGUUUAGAUUUUUAGACACUAAAAAAAUCAGCCAUUAGCUGGCCCAAUAGCACUCAUUCACCCUCAACUCUAGCCACCCGUCACCGUCAGUCCGUCACCCUCACCUAGGCCGCUUCAGCGCUUCCUCCCGAAAUGCGUCGCGUCGCAAGCGCUAGGGCGCUAGGUGACUGCCGAAGUGGCGAGUCCAGCGCCGUCGCCGU
rnacentral:lncRNA from 1 species